GUCUGACUGCAUCCGUAAUUCCCCUGCUUCUUUCACGGAACUACUUGAUCCGAUUGUAGACGCGUAAAGUAAGGAUUUGAUAAAUUCUUAGAAAUACAGGCUAUACUUUUUGGCAAGUGAUGUAGGACUACUUACCAAUGGGUGCAUCGCCCUGUUCAGAGCUGCCAUUGAAAGCCACUUCGUCCACUUUCCGUCUCAUCGAUCCCCUGUCUUUCCUCUGUUUAAUCUGGGAAAGGAACGGAACUGUUAGUUACGACGUUACAGACGAGCGGCGACUCUGCUUACUUGGAUGACGUGGGCAUCGCUGUUGUUGACGGCGUCCAGCCGCUGUCCCUUCAUCAAGCCGUCCACCUUCUCCUCCAGCGAGCCCAUCCUCUCCUGGACCCGCUGCCGGUCCUGCUGCAGCCGCUGCGCCUUCUCCCAGAGCUCGGUGGAGAUGUUGAGCACCUGGUUCUCCCGCUCCUCCAGCGCCCGGGCUUUGGCCCUCAGCGCCUCGCCGUCCUCCUGCAGUCGCUGCGUCUGCCGGCCCAGGUCGCCCACCGUGCCGUUGAAGGCCUUGAGCUUGGCGGCGAUGUCCCUCAUCUGGCCCUUUGUCUUGUCCACGUGCUCCUUCAGGCCGUGACCCAGCUGCAGGAGCCCGUGGGCGAUGACGUUCACGUCGUCCCAGGAGGCGAACCUCCCGCUCUGAUCCUUCCCCGAGGCCGCCUUCCUCUCGAAGGGGUAGCUCGACGCGGCGCCGGCCAGGAGGGCAGCGCAGAGCACCAGGCUGGUCGCGACGGUCUUCAUCUUCACAGGUCUGUCGUCCGUUCUAGCUCAUUAACAGCCACAUCCUGGUGCUCUGACUCCCCCGAUUCCAACGGAGUGAACUUUCACCCAGAUUCCAACAACGUAACAUCUGCCGGGUCUUCCAUUCGCGCGUACAAGUGGAUGGUUGUACUCUUUUAAGACGAUCUUUUGUGCGGUUUUCAGAUGAUACACAAUGAAAGACCCCUCACCCCCUUCCAUGAAUUAGGCGCGUAAGGAAAUUGAAUCGUGGACACAGGAAUCAUUGAAGUGCAUUUUUCUGAUGUUCUACAGUGCUAGGACAGUGUCUACACUUGCCCGUUGGCAUGUGGGCAGUGACAUGAAAUGCUGGACACAGUUCGUAAUCGUUAACUGGAUCUCAGUUGAGAAUGCAGGAUGUCCAAAAGUCAUGGUAUUUCAUGAUUUUCACGAUGUAUUCAUUUGUAGUCAAAAGUUAGCAACGGGGAGUCACGGCUAUGCAUAAAU